rnacentral:rRNA from 1 species
AACGAACGCUGGCGGCAGGCUUAACACAUGCAAGUCGAACGCCCCGCAAGGGGAGUGGCAGACGGGUGAGUAACGCGUGGGAAUCUACCCAUCCCUACGGAACAACUCCGGGAAACUGGAGCUAAUACCGUAUACGCCCUUAGGGGGAAAGAUUUAUCGGGGAUGGAUGAGCCCGCGUUGGAUUAGCUGGUUGGGGGGGUAAAGGCCUACCAAGGCGACGAUCCAUAGCUGGUCUGAGAGGAUGAUCAGCCACAUUGGGACUGAGACACGGCCCAAGCUCCUACGGGAGGCAGCGGUGGGGAAUAUUGGACAAUGGGCGCAAGCCUGAUCCAGCCAUGCCGCGUGAGUGAUGAAGGCCUUAGGGUUGUAAAGCUCUUUCACCGAUGAAGAUAAUGACGGUAGUCGGAGAAGAAGCCCCGGCUAACUUCGUGCCAGCCGCCGCCGUAACAC